CAAUAGCGUAUAUUAAAGUUGUUGCGGUAAAAAAGCUCGUAGUUGGAUUUCUACCGAAGAUAGCCGGUCGGGUCUUCGACCUUGUAUCUGGUUUUGUCUUUGGUAUCCUCAUAGGGAACGUUUCUGCGCUUUAUUGCGUGGUGCGGUAUCUAUGACUUUUACUUUGAGGAAAUUAGAGUGUUCACGGCAGGCAAACGCCUGGAAUAUAUUAGCAUGGAAUAAUAACAUAGGAUCUUCGUCCUAUUUUGUUGGUUUCUAGGGCUAAGAUAAUGAUUAAUAGGGAUAAUUGGGGGCAUCUGUAUCAACGCGUCAGAGGUGGAAUUCUUGGAUUGCGUUGCGACAAACUACUGCGAAAGCAUUUGCCAAGGAUGUUUUCAUUGA
rnacentral:rRNA from 1 species